UACGGAGGGUGCAAGCGUUAUCCGGAUUUACUGGGUUUAAAGGGUGCGUAGGUGGUUUGGUAAGUCAGUGGUGAAAUCUUCGAGCUUAACUCGGAAACUGCCAUUGAUACUAUUAAUCUUGAAUUAUCUGGAGGUAAGCGGAAUAUGUCAUGUAGCGGUGAAAUGCUUAGAUAUGACAUAGAACACCCAUUGCGAAGGCAGCUUACUACGGAUACAUUGACACUGAGGCACGAAAGCGUGGGGAUCAAACAGG
rnacentral:rRNA from 1 species